rnacentral:rRNA from 1 species
UACGGAGGAUCCAAGCGUUAUCCGGAUUUAUUGGGUUAAAGGGUGCGUAGGCGGCCUAUUAAGUCAGGGGUGAAAGACGGUAGCUUAACUAUCGCAGUGCCUUUGAUACUGAUGGGCUUGAAUGAACUAGAGGUAGGCGGAAUGUGACAAGUAGCGGUGAAAUGCAUAGAUAUGUCACAGAACACCAAUUGCGAAGGCAGCUUACUAUGGUUUUAAUUGACGCUGAGGCACGAAAGCGUGGGGAUCAAACAGG